UACAGAGGUCUCAAGCGUUUGUUCGGAUUCAUUGGGCGUAAAAGGGGUGCGUAGGCGGCGCGGUUAAGUCGGGGUGUGAAAUCUCGGAGCUUAACUCCGAAAACUGCAUUCGAUACUGCCGUGCUUGAGGACUGGAGAGGAGACUGGAAUUUACGGUGUAGCGGUGAAAUGCGUAGAUAUCGUAAGGAAGACCAGUGGCGA
rnacentral:rRNA from 1 species